rnacentral:rRNA from 1 species
GGGCGUAAGCGCGCGUAGGCGGCUUCUUAAGUCUGAUGUGAAAUCCCCCAGCUCAACUUGGGAAUUGCAUUCGAUACUGGUUAACUUGAGUGCGGGAGAGGAUGGUGGAAUUCCAUGUGUAGCGGUGAAAUGCGUAGAGAUCUGGAGGAAUACCGAUGGCGAAGGCAACCUUCUGGUCUAUCACUGACGCUGAGGUGCGAAAGCAUGGGGAGCAAACAGGAUUAGAUACCCUGGUAGUCCAUGCCGUAAACGAUGUCUACUAGCCGUUGGGGCCUUUGAGGCUUUAGUGGCUGCAGCUAACGCGAUAAGUACACCGCCUGGGGAGUACGGUCGCAAGACUAAAACUCAAAUGAAUUGACGGGGGCCCGCACAAGCGGUGGAGCAUGUGGUUUAAUUCGAUGCAACGCGAAGAACCUUACCUGGCCUUGACAUACUAAGAACUUUCCAGAGAUGGAUUGGUGCCUUCGGGAACUUACAUACAGGUGCUGCAUGGCUGUCGUCAGCUCGUGUCGUGAGAUGUUGGGUUAAGUCCCGCAACGAGCGCAACCCUUUUCCUUAUUUGCCAUCGAGUAAUGUCGGGAACUUUAAGGAUACUGCCAGUGACAAACUGGAGGAAGGCGGAGACGACGUCAAGUCAUCGUGGCCCUUACGGUCAGGGCUACACACGUGCUACAAUGGUCGGUACAAAGGGUUGCUACCUAGCGAUAGGAUGCUAAUCUCAAA